AACGAACGCUGGCGGCAUGCCUAACACAUGCAAGUCGAACGAGACCUUCGGGUCUAGUGGCGCACGGGUGCGUAACGCGUGGGAACCUGCCUUUAGGUUCGGAAUAACUCAGAGAAAUUUGAGCUAAUACCGGAUGAUGUCUUCGGACCAAAGAUUUAUCGCCUUUAGAUGGGCCCGCGUUGGAUUAGCUAGUUGGUGGGGUAAAGGCCUACCAAGGCGACGAUCCAUAGCUGGUCUGAGAGGAUGAUCAGCCACACUGGGACUGAGACACGGCCCAGACUCCUACGGGAGGCAGCAGUGGGGAAUAUUGAACAAUGGGCGAAAGCCUGAUCCAGCAAUGCCGCGUGAGUGAUGAAGGCCUUAGGGUUGUAAAGCUCUUUUACCCGAGAUGAUAAUGACAGUAACGGGAGAAUAAGCGCCGGCUAACUACGUG
rnacentral:rRNA from 1 species